rnacentral:lncRNA from 1 species
AUUUCAUCUUGACCAUCUUUGAGGGACUAUUGAUGCUUUUGGUAUCAGCAGCCACAGAAUUCAUCAGACACAGCACAAAAGAGCAGGAGAAGAGAUAAUGGCAGAUGCCAGAAGGUUGUCCAGCUGGUUACUACCUCUCCUCUUCACCUGAUUAUACCUGAUUACUGCUGACUCGAUGGGCAGGGAGAGUCGCUGACUCCUGACAGAAAGACUCUGUCACCCCUUGUAAGUUACUGGGGAUCCCUCUCUGAAGACUGCCUGCUUGUUCUCUGGGGACUAGUCCUUAUUUCCCUUCUGGGAUACAGAGGGGAAGGUUAUUUGUAUUAAGCAAACAUCUCUGAGAAACAACCCUCUCUGCAACAUAGAGACCACAAGGAAAAGUGCAACAUUGAAAGAAUAGGGACUAUGAAUUGUUUUGAGUAGACAGAAAUUUCUGCAAAUGUAUCUCUAUCUUUCGCUCUUAAAAAAAAAAUCUACUUAGUGUAGAAAAAGCUUCCUUCUUGACUCCUAAUCCCCACCUUCUCAAUAAUGUUUCGAGUGUAUUCCUACAAAUUUAUUUUUUAUAUGCCUAAUUUUUUAAAAACCAAAAAAAACCUGGAUUUUUACUUCAUGUAUUUCUUUUAAAAUUGUUUUUCAAUUAAUCUAUAGUGGAUAUUUUAUUUUUGUAUCUAUAUAUAGAGAUCUAGUUUCUUUUAGUGACUGCAUAGUACAGAUCAGUGCUGUCUAAGAGAAAUAUAGUGCAAGGUUCAAAUGCAAGUCACAUAUGCAAUUUUAUACAUUCUAAUAGCUACAUUAAAAAGGUUAAAAAGGUGAAAUUAAUUUUAGUAAUAUAUUUAGGCCAGUAUACCCAGAAUAUUAUUGCUGCUACAUUCAAUCAACAUAAAAGUUAAUGAAAUGUUUUUACCUUUUGUUUCAUAUCUUCAAAAUCCAGUGUGUACUCAAUUCAGACUAGCCUCAUUUCAAGUGGUUAGUAGCUACUGUAUUGGAGAGCACAGGAAGAAAUGUGUCCUGAAACUAGUUUCCUAAUGAGGAACAUUCCAAUGCUUAUUAAUAUGAACAAUUAAACAAAAACAUUCUUUUGACAUAUCUUGAGCACUUACAGCAGUGGUUUUCCAGGAUGAAUUCAUAGAGGUGAAAAAUGCUGGGCCAAAGGGACAGAACAUAUCCAAUUUUAAUAGAGUUGGCUCCAAAAAAGACUCAAAAAAGACACUCUCAACAACACUGUUGGAGGAUCCAUUUCCUCACAGACUCACCAAUGAUAGAUAUUCUUUUUUUUUUUUGAGACAGAGUCUCGCUCUGUCGCCCAGGCUAGAGUGCAGUGGUGUGAUCUCGGCUCACUGCAAGUUCCGCCUCCUUGGUUCACACCAUUUUCCUGCCUCAGCCUCCCGAGUAGCUGAGACUACAGGCGCCCAUCACCUCCCCUGGCUAAUUUUCUGUAUUUUUAGUAGAGACAGGGUUUCACCGUGUUAGCCAGGAUGGUCUCAAUCUCCUGACCUCGUGAUCCGCCCGCCUCGGCCUCCCAGAGUGCUGGAAUUACAGGCGUGCAAUGAUGGACAUUCUAAUUAUAGUUUUCCAAUCUGAUUGGUGAAAAUCUUACCAUGGUUCGGUAAGUACUGGGAUUGAAAACUGGAAUUUCUUCUGUAGAAUGCCUGUUGAGCUUGAAUUUUUCCCUGGGUUAAUUGAACCAGGUACUAACCCUUCAUUCUUGUGCCUAGGUUCUGGAGAAUCCCCUCCUGUUUACAUGAGGGAGCUCCUCACAAUUACAUCUGGGGACUGGAAUCACAGCCCCUGUUCUUCAGCCCGGGGCAGGGAAUGAGAGCAGUCCUCAAACUUUCGGUUUAAUAUGCAGAAAUUGACACUGGUACAGACACUAUCAUUCCAAAUUCCUCAUUUUUGUAAAGGUUAGCCAGAAACACAAGGUAACCAUCUAUUUUUUUGUGUGUUCUUUGGAUAUAAGAUACAUCUCUGCUACCAAGAAAGAGACUGCAACAAAGCACAGCUUUAUUGGGAGUACAUGUAAAUGAGGAGACCUUAAUUACCAUAAAAUCAAUUUCCUUUGAUUACUUCCCCAAAGCUCUAAUUCUCAAACGUGAAUUAAGAGUAAUUUGAAUAGAAUGAAUAGAAUGUGUAAAUAGACAACAACAUGAGAAGGAAAUUGAAGGUUGAAUCUAGAAAAGAAAUGGCUCAGGUUAAAAGGAAAAAUGAGGAGAGUUAGAGGGGCAGAAUCAGGAGCUUCUGUUUCAUGAUAGGUAUGAUUAGCCCUCCAUGGACUUCCUCUCUUCUUCCCAGAGACUCCUUUCCUUAACUAAGUUCUUUCUUUGAACCCUGGUGUGCUCUUCUAACCGUGUAACUGUGUCCAGAAUUGGUGUGUUCUUUGUCUCACUGACAUCAAGAAUGAAGCCACGGACCCUUGCGGUGAGUGUUACAGUUCUUAAAGAUGGUGUGUCCAGAGUUUGUUCCUUCUGACGUUCGGACGUUUUUGGAGUUUCUUCCUUAUGGUGCGUUUGUGGUCUCACUGGCUUCACGAGUGAAGCUGCAGACCUUCAUGGUGAGUGUUACAGCUCAUAAAGGCAGUGCAGACCCAAAGAGUGAGCAAUAGCAAGAUUUGUUGCAAAGAGCGAAAGAACAACGCUUCCACAGUGUGAAAGGGGACCUGAGCAGGUUGCCUGGGCAGCCUGCCUUUAUUCCCUUAUCUGGCCCCGCCCACAUCCUGCUGAUUGGUCCAUUUUACAGAGAGCUGAUUGGUCCAUUUUGACAGGGUGCUGAUUGGUGCGUUUACAAUCCCUGAGCUAGACACAGAGUGCUGAUUGGUGCAUUUACAGUCCUCUAGCUAGACAUAAAAGUUCUCCAAGCCCCCACUAGAUUAACUAGACACAGAGCACUGAUUGGUGCAUUUACAAACCUUGAGCUAGACACAGAGUGCUGAUUGGUGCAUAUACAAUCCUCCAGCUAGACAUAAAAGUUCUCCAAGUCCCCACCUGACUCAGGAGCCCAGCUGGCUUUGCCUAGUGUAGCCGGCACCGGGGCCAAGGGCGGAGCUGCCCACUAGUGCUGUCAGGUAGCAGUCCCGCACCGCCCACCUGCACUCCUCAGCCUUUGGGCGGUCAAUGGGACCGGGCCUUGGAGCAGGGGGUGGCGCCUGUCAGGGAGGCUCCAGCCUGCUGCUGGAGCACACCGCGGGGGGCUCGGGCAUGGCAGGCUGCAGGUCCCGAGCCCUGCCCCGUGGGGAGGCGGCUGAGGCCCCGCGAGAAUUCAAGUGCGGCGCAGGCAGGACAGCAGUGCUGGGGGACCCAGCACACUCUCCGUAGCUGCUGGCCCGGGUGCUAAGCCCCUCACUGCCUGGGGCUGGUGGUGCUGGCCGGUCAGCCGAUCUGAGUGUGGGGCCCGCGGAGCCCGUGCCCACCCGGAACUCGCGCUGGCCCACGAGCUCCACCACCCUGCAGCCCCGGUUCCCGUCCACGCCUCUCCCUCCACACCUCCCGGCAAGCAGGGGGAGCCGGCUCCAGCCUCGGCCAGCCCAGACAGGGGCUCCCGCAGUGCAGCGGGGGGCUGAAGGGCUCCUCAAAUGUGGCCAGAGUGGGCAACAUGGCAGAGGAGGCGCCAAGAGCGAGCAAGGGCUGCCAGCAUGCUGUCACCUCUCGUAACUAUAUACAUACACAUACAUAUAUAUUGUAUUAGUCCAUUCACACUGCUAUAAAGAACUACCCAAGACUGGGUAAUUUAUAAAGGAAAGAGGUUUAAUUGCCUCACAGUUCCGCAGGGCUGAGGAGGUCUCAGGAAACUUGCAAUCAUGGCAGAAGGGGAAGCAAACAUGUCCUUCACAUGGAGGCAGGAAGGAGAAGUGAGAGCUGAGCAAAGUGGAAAGCACCUUAUAAAACCAUCAGAUCUCAUGAGAACUCACUAUCAUGAGAAUGGUAUGGGGGAAAGUGCACCCAUGAUUCAAUUAUCUCCACCUGGUCCUGCCCUUGAUAUGUGGGGAUUAUUACAAUUCAUGAUGAUUUUGGGUAGGGAUGCAGCCAAAACUAUAAUAUAUAAUAUAUAUUACAUAUUAUAUAUAUUAUAUAUUUUAUAUAUAUACACACAUAAAUAGAGAGAGAAAUAGAUUUUAGAAAUUGACAGUUUUGGUUUUUAAUUUUCUUGCUUUUUAGGCCAUUUAUUUUAGAUCCUGUGAAUCCUACUGUCAAUGUUGUGACACCUGCAAUGCCUGGGAUGAAGCUGCCCAUGUGGUGAGAUGCAGCCUGUGGAAGCCUCUUUUCAGUGGAGUGAGAGCCAAGCCCCCUUGGCUUUUCAUAGACAAUUGGUGAACGGGACAAGGAGACACUGUCCUUGGAUGUCUGAAAAAAAAAGAAAAAGGUUGCAAAACAUGUUGCCAAUAAGAAUGUUGUAGAUGAAAGGCAGGAUGAAGGAAAGUGGUCUUAAUUUAAAUUCUCUAUUUUACUAAACCUACUCUUUAACAAAUAUGUUUAUGUGAGGCAUCAGAAGCAAAUGUAUUUUGGCUUUUAAGAGAAUUAAAAUUGUUUCCCCUAUUUUUUUAUUUGUUUGCUUUGGUGGCUUUGUGACCAAAAAAAUUGUUUUAAUCCAAAUAGCCACAAUAAAUAAAUAAGCAAAUGAAUAAAAUUCCCAGGUCAUUUGAGAGAAAAGAUUAACUGAAAAGGUAAAGCAUCUCCCCCUUUUUAGUUUCAGUUAAUUAUAGUGUCAGGAUGACUUUUUAACUUACCUGGCAAUCUGGAACCUCAUAGAGUCACUUGCGUUUUCAAAAUUUCCAUGUGAAAACAUGAUUGUGCCAAGUACUCCCUAUUAACUUUUAGACAUCAUCUAUAAAAUCACUACAGGAAAAUAUGGAAAUAUCUGAGAGAUACACAGUGGAUCGCCUCAGAAUAAAUCGUUCCCCAAAUCAUUUUAUGACUGCCUGAGUCGGGACUCAUGGGUCAGAGUAGAGUCAUAGUUAAGGUUUGCAACUGGCUUAGUAGCAAGAGGGGAUAAACAAACUAUCCAGGCUGUUGAACUGUCCAGUUUCGCUACAACUGUAUUUACUUGUUGGGAUCAACUGUUUUCUUUCCUAUUAAGGUAUUAGUAGCCACUGAUAAUGGAAGCCAGGGCCCGCUAGAAAUAGACCAGAGGAAAUUUCCUGACUCACUUGCAUAACAACAGUUCAUCAGCACUGAAGAUAUAUGAAGUGUGACUGCAGAGUAAUGGGAGUGAUUAGGUUUCUCUGCACAACAAAACUCUUACAUACAAAUGAGCACUGUCCCCUUCAGGACAGUCCUCAGGGAACCCGUAUGCUUAUUCCGGUGUGUGAUUGGUCUGGAAGCAUUUUUGGAUGCCCUCUGGACAGAAAGUGCUUUUGGACACUGUUAGUGGUGACAAAGUGUGUCCUUUGAGGAUGGAUUAGAUUGUUGGAAAUGAUACAAUGUAUUCACAGUAUACAUCUGUUGUUUUUGUCUACCCAGAAGCCUCUGUCCAAACUUGUGGUUGGAGAGGCUGUAUUUCUUCUGUCGUUCAUUCUGUCUUUGAAGGCUCUCGAGGAGAAAAUAGCUUUUAAUAUCUCUUGGGAAAUGGCCACAUUUUCCCCUGGCAAUUGAACCCAUGGCUUUCUUGAAUGACUACUCCUCAACCAGGUCUAAGUUGUUUAGGUAGGCUGACUUGACCACCAGUUCCAGAGCACAGACAUGUGACGAGCCUGGCCAUAGUCAUUGAUUCAGGGAUGGACACAUGACUGAAACGGCAUGCUGGCAUUUAGUUCUGGUACUUGGAUUUUAACUGUUGGGAGGAGAAUUUCUCACUCUGCUAUGAUAUAAGCAUGAAGCUACUGGCUUCCACUUGCUGCUACAAAGAGCCUGCUUAAAAAUGGAGCCAACAUAAAAGGAAGCAGAUUUAAGACCUGAGCGAUGAGAGCGUGCACAUGUGUGUAUAUCCACAUAAUGAGACUAAGUCUUGAUUUCUGCACCUUGAUCCAGAUAUACCUGGAGCAGAAACUCUGCUGGGACUCUUUUGUAUCAUGAGCCAGUAACCUCCCUAUUUGCCUAGUAGGUUGAUUUGGGCUUCAAUCUUGCAACCAAGUGAGUCCUGACUAAACCAGCAGAAUGGAGCCAGGUAAGGUUCUUUCUCAAGAAGAGAAGAAGGAAGGUAUCAAGACGUUUAUGACAAAUUUCUACUCAACACUGAGCACCUGCUAAGUGCUGGGCCUAAUAGUCGAGAUGCUGCAAUGAACUAGUCCAUUCAGGAUGCUGAGGUGUUUCAGCCUAGAAGAGACUGCUUUUCUUCCUUUGCUCAUGCAGACUCAGGGGGCCAUUCUCAAGGAGGAGUUAGUGACAGGAAUGUCUUUGGCAAAGACAGCACUCUUGAGUGUGGUCAGAACAUGUUAUUUAUUUCCCAAGAUGAUUAGUUUUUGAAGAAGACAACAAAUAGUUGAGGCUAUGAAUUCUAUCUCUGUAAAAAUAGAGUUAUGUUUUCCUCCUGUAGUCAGAUCUCCUGUGGAACGUGAGUAAACAGGAAUUUCUAUGUAUGGAGCAAGGACAGUAUGGUUAGCACAUAAUACAUGUGUUUAUUUCAGAGCUGGGGAGGACUCCUGACCAGCGUGACACCUAACAUUGGAGUGAAGGGGCAGCAGACCUCUCCAGCCACGUGAAACGGAAUGGGAAAUACUCUUCUCCUACCACCAACUUGGCCACUCUCCAGUGACGAGGUUUCAGAAGCAGUGCAUUUUCAAGUUUCUGCCUCAGAAGAGAUCCAGUUUGGCAUUCUGUCUAAGUUCACUGCACAGAGACGGGUUUGGCUCUGUGAUUCAUCAGAAAUAAGAAAAACAAACACUGUAAAUGGAGAACUUGAAAAAGAGGUGGGCACCAUCUCCCCACCCAAGAGAAUGGAUUUAAGAGGAAAUUUGUUUAUGGGAUGAAGUUUUAAAAGGCGACCUGGAAAAUUUAGCAAAGAUGUAAAUAAACAACUCUUCCUUGGAUUGCAUUAGGCUUCAGAAUAAAUAUAUUAACCAGCUUCAGUCAAAGUCUGCCUAGAAUCUGACCCUGACAAGACCCAGUGACUAGUGCUGCUCCGAACCUUCCCCACCAACAGCAGGCAAUUUUCUCUGUGGCAAAGCUACCUCGAAACAGGCAUCCAGGCUUCCCUCCCACGAAGUGAAGAUGAGAAAACUGAGUCUCAGAAUGGACAAGCUCACAGAUGGCAAGUGGUAGAGCAGACUUCACACAUAGCUUCUGCCACGUCCCGGGUCCCAGAGUGUGCCUGCUCAGAUCCCAGAAAACUUGCAGGAACAGGAAGAGG